rnacentral:rRNA from 1 species
UGAGUACGAGAUGCUACGGCAUCGAAGCAGUCUAUGUCAUACUUCCAAGAAAAGCUUGCAAUGUCAUAAACAAAUAAUGCCUGUACCAUAACCGACACAGGUGGGUAGGUAGAGUAUACUAAGGGGCGCGAGAUAACUCUCUCUAAGGAACUCGGCAAAAUGACUCCGUAACUUCGGGAGAAGGAGUGCCUUAUUUUCAUAAGGUUGCAAUAACAAGAUCCAAGCAACUGUUUACCAAAAACACAGGUCUCCGCUAAGUCGUAAGACGAUGUAUGGGGGCUGACGCCUGCCCAGUGCCAGAAGGUUAAAGAAGUUGGUUAGCAUUAGCGAAGCUGAUAACUGAAGCCCUGGUGAACGGCGGCCGUAACGAUAACGGUCCUAAGGUAGCGAAAUUCCUUGUCGGGUAAGUUCCGACCCGCACGAAAGGCGUAAUGAUUUGGAUACUGUCUCGGAGAGGGGCUCGGUGAAAUAGACUUGUCUGUGAAGAUGCGGACUACCUGCACCUGGACAGAAAGACCCUAUGAAGCUUUACUGUAACUUGAGAUUGAAAUUGGACUUUAUCUGCGCAGUAUAGGUGGGAGACGUUGAAAAUAUUCUUGCGGGAAUAUUGGAGUCAUCAGUGAGAUACCACUCUUAUAAUGUUAGAUUUCUAACUUUGUAUCAUUAUCUGGUCAAAGAACAGUUUCAGGCGGGCAGUUUGACUGGGGCGGUCGCCUCCCAAACGGUAACGGAGGCGCACAAAGGUUUCCUCUGAACGUGUAGAAAUCGUAUCUAGAGUGUAAAGGCAUAAGGAAGCUUGACUGUGAGACCUACAAGUCGAGCAGGGACGAAAGUCGGUCUUAGUGAUCUGACGGUGCUGAGUGGAAAGGCCGUCACUCAACGGAUAAAAGUUACUCUAAGGAUAACAGGCUGAUCUCCCCCAAGAGUUCACAUCGACGGGGAGGUUUGGCACCUCGAUGUCGGCUCAUUGCAUCCUGGGGCGGUAGUACGUCCCAAGGGUUGGGCUGUUCGCCCAUGAAAGCGGUACGCGAGCUGGGUUCAGAACGUCGUGAGACAGUUCGGUCCAUAUCCGGUGUAGGCGUUAGAAUAUUGAGAGGAGCCUUCUUUAGUACGAGAGGACCGAGAAGGACAUACCUCUGGUGUACCAGUUAUCGUGCCAACGGUAAACGCUGGGUAGCCAUGUAUGGAGAGGAUAACCGCUGAAAGCAUCUAAGUGGGAAGCCCACCUCAAGAUAAGUAUUCCC